rnacentral:lncRNA from 1 species
GAUAAGUGUAUUUUUGCACACUUAUUUAGAUUACAAACGUGACUUAAAUACAAACAAAAUGAUUGAAUUGUGACUUAAUCUCAUUGAAUUCAUGCAAUGUAGGUGUUUCUAUGGAAAUAGUGAAAUUCAGGAGAAGAGAGCCGAAAAAGGACUAAAAUGGAGCAAAGUGAUAGUUUAGGGACUAAGGAUGCAAAUAUUCGAAAGUUGAACUAAAAGACAACUCGGGAAUAAAAAUAUACAAAGUAUGAACUCAAAAGCAAUACAAGAUGAUUGGAAGAAGAAGGAAUUGCAAAGGGACUAAAAUGAAUUAAACUGAAAGUUCGGGGACCAAGUUGCAAAUAAUUCAUAGAUGAGACGGGAAAUGGAAUGAAGAUUCAAGAGUGUUAGAAGUCAAUCGGAUGAGGAAAGGAGUCACGAGGUGAAAUAGGGUCGAAGUAUUAUCAAGUAUCAACUUUCAGGCGAAAAAGCUAUGCUCGUGAUUUUUAGUAUCUAUUUGAGAUCCAUUUUUUACAUAGUAAACAUCAGAAUUUGAGGAAGCCU